GGCUCGUUGGUCUAGGGGUAUGAUUCUCGCUUCGGGUGCGAGAGGAUCCCGGGUUAAAAUCCCGGACGAGCCC
rnacentral:tRNA from 1 species